UGGUGCAAUCAGUUAACACUCUUGACUGCUGACCAAAAGGUUGGUGGUUCAAAUCCACC
rnacentral:tRNA from 1 species